AUUGAACGCUGGCGGAAUGCUUUACACAUGCAAGUCGAACGGCAGCACGGACUUCGGUCUGGUGGCGAGUGGCGAACGGGUGAGUAACAUAUCGGAACGUAUCCAAUAAUGGGGGAUAACUAAUCGAAAGGUUGGCUAAUACCGCAUACGCCCUACGGGGGAAAGCAGGGGAUCUUCGGACCUUGCGUUAAUGGAGCGGCUGAUAUCUGAUUAGCUAGUUGGUGAGGUAAAGGCCCACCAAGGCGACGAUCAGUAGCUGGUCUGAGAGGACGUCCAGCCGAACUGGAACUGAGACACGGUCCAGACUCCUACGGGAGGCAGCAGUGGGGAAUUUUGGACAAUGGGCGCAAGCCUGAUCCAGCCAUUCCGCGUGAGUGAAGAAGGCCUUCGGGUUGUAAAGCUCUUUCGCAAGGGAAGAAAACUUACUUUCUAAUAAAGAGUGAGGUUGACGGUACCUUGAUAAGAAGCACCGGCUAACUACGUGCCAGCCGCCGCAGUAA
rnacentral:rRNA from 1 species